rnacentral:rRNA from 1 species
GUAGGUGGCAAGCGUUGUCCGGAAUUAUUGGGCGUAAAGCGCGCGCAGGCGGGUUCUUUAAGUCUGAUGUGAAAGCCCACGGGCUCAACCGUGGAGGGUCAUUGGAAACUGGAGAACUUGAGUACAGAAGAGGAAAGCGGAAUUCCACGUGUAGCGGUGAAAUGCGUAGAGAUGUGGAGGAACACCAGUGGCGAGGGCGGCUUUCUGGUCUGUAACUGACGCUGAGGCGCGAAAGCGUGGGGAGCAAACAGGAUUAGAUACCCUGGUAGUCCACGCCGUAAACGAUGAGUGCUAAGUGUUAGGGGGUUUCCGCCCCUUAGUGCUGCAGCUAACGCAUUAAGCACUCCGCCUGGGGAGUACGGCCGCAAGGCUG